UACGUAGGGAGCAAGCGUUGUCCGGAAUCAUUGGGCGUAAAGCGCGCGUAGGCGGCCCGAUAAGUCCGCUGUGAAAGUCAACGGCUCAACUGUUGGAUGCCGGUGGAUACUGUCGGGCUAGAGUACGGAAGAGGCAAGUGGAAUUCCUGGUGUAGCGGUGGAAUGCGCAGAUAUCAGGAGGAACACCUAUAGCGAAGGCAGCUUGCUGGGACGUUAACUGACGCUAAGGCGCGAAAGCGUGGGGAGCGAACAGG
rnacentral:rRNA from 1 species